GAUGAACGCUGGCGGCGUGCCUAAUACAUGCAAGUCGAGCGAACAGACGAGGAGCUUGCUCCUCUGAUGUUAGCGGCGGACGGGUGAGUAACACGUGGAUAACCUACCUAUAAGACUGGGAUAACUUCGGGAAACCGGAGCUAAUACCGGAUAACAUGUUGAACCGCAUGGUUCAACAGUGAAAGACGGUCUUGCUUUCACUUAUAGAUGGUUCCGCGCCGCAUUAGCUAGUUGGUAAGGUAACGGCUUACCAAGGCAACGAUGCGUAGCCGACCUGAGAGGGUGAUCGGCCACACUGGAACUGAGACACGGUCCAGACUCCUACGGGAGGCAGCAGUAGGGAAUCUUCCGCAAUGGGCGAAAGCCUGACGGAGCAACGCCGCGUGAGUGAAGAAGGUCUUCGGAUCGUAAAACUCUGUUAUUAGGGAAGAACAAAUGUGUAAGUAACUAUGCACGUCUUGACGGUACCUAAUCAGAAAGCCACGGCUAACUACGUG
rnacentral:rRNA from 1 species